GACGAACGCUGGCGGCGUGCUUAACACAUGCAAGUCGAGCGGAGCGGCGAACGGGUGAGUAACGCGUGAGUAACUGCCCCCCUCUCUGGGAUAACAGUUGGAAACGGCUGCUAAUACCGGAUAGUGGGGGGGGACUCGCGUCCUAUCAGCUUGUUGGUGGGGUAGUGGCUUACCAAGGCGACGACGGGUAGCCGGCCUGAGAGGGCGACCGGCCACAUUGGGCUGGGAGAGGUGCCAAACUCCUACGGGAGGAAGGAGUGGGGAAUAGUGCACAAUGGGGCAAACCCUGAUGCAGCGACGCCGCGUUGGGGAGGACGGUUUUCGGGGGGGAAACCGCUUUCAGCCAUGACGCGGUAGUGGCAGAAGAAGCAACGGCUAACUACGUGCCAGCAGCCGCGGUAAUUC
rnacentral:rRNA from 1 species